ACGAACGCUGGCGGCGUGCUUAACACAUGCAAGUCGAACGGAGAGGCCCUGCUUUUGUGGGGUGCUCGAGUGGCGAACGGGUGAGUAACACGUGAGUAACCUGCCCUUGACUUUGGGAUAACUUCAGGAAACUGGGGCUAAUACCGGAUAGGAGCUCCUGCUGCAUGGUGGGGGUUGGAAAGUUUCGGCGGUUGGGGAUGGACUCGCGGCUUAUCAGCUUGUUGGUGGGGUAGUGGCUUACCAAGGCUUUGACGGGUAGCCGGCCUGGGAGGGUGACCGGCCACAUUGGGACUGAGAUACGGCCCAGACUCCUACGGGAGGCAGCAGUGGGGAAUAUUGCACAAUGGGCGGAAGCCUGAUGCAGCAACGCCGCGUGCGGGAUGACGGCCUUCGGGUUGUAAACCGCUUUCGCCUGUGACGAAGCGUGAGUGACGGUAAUGGGUAAAGAAGCACCGGCUAACUACGUG
rnacentral:rRNA from 1 species